rnacentral:tRNA from 1 species
UAGGGAGAAAGGCAAUCGAACCUCCACUUAAAAACUCAAAAUUUUUCGUACUACCAUCUAUACUACCCCCUA